rnacentral:rRNA from 1 species
AUUGAACGCUGGCGGCAGGCCUAACACAUGCAAGUCGAGCGAGCGGCGGUCGGGUGCGUAAUGUAUGGGGGCUGCCCGAUAGAGGGGGAUAAAUACUGGAAACGGUAGCUAAUACCGCAUACUAUCGGAUAACCCAUAUGGGUUUAGCUGGUAGGUGAGGUAAUGGCUCACCUAGGCGACGCUCCCUAGCUGGUCUGAGAGGAUGAUCAGCCACACUGUGACUGAUACACGGACCAGACUCCCACGGAGGCAGCAGUGGGGAAGAUUGCACAAGGGGCGCAAGCCUGAUGCAGCCAUGCCGCGUGUAUGAAGAAGGCCCUAGGGUUGUAAAGUACUUUCAGUCGGGAGGCGUUACCGACAGAAGAAGCACCGGCUAACUCCGUGCCAGCAGCCGCGGUAAUUC